rnacentral:rRNA from 1 species
UAACCUGCCCAAGAGACUGGGAUAACACCUGGAAACAGAUGCUAAUACCGGAUAACAACACUAGACGCAUGUCUAGAGUUUAAAAGAUGGUUCUGCUAUCACUCUUGGAUGGACCUGCGGUGCAUUAGCUAGUUGGUAAGGUAACGGCUACCAAGGCAAUGAUGCAUAGCCGAGUUGAGAGACUGAUCGGCCACAUUGGGACUGAGACACGGCCCAAACUCCUACGGAAGGCAGCAG